rnacentral:rRNA from 1 species
GGGUGGUAAUGCCGGAUGCUCCAUCACACUGCAUGGUGUGUUGGGAAAGCCUUUGCGGCAUGGGAUGGGGUCGCGUCCUAUCAGCUUGAUGGCGGGGUAACGGCCCACCAUGGCUUCGACGGGUAGCCGGCCUGAGAGGGCGACCGGCCACAUUGGGACUGAGAUACGGCCCAGACUCCUACGGGAGGCAGCAGUGGGGAAUAUUGCACAAUGGGCGCAAGCCUGAUGCAGCGACGCCGCGUGAGGGAUGGAGGCCUUCGGGUUGUAAACCUCUUUUGUUAGGGAGCAAGGCAUUUUGUGUUGAGUGUACCUUUCGAAUAAGCACCGGCUAACUACGUGCCAGCAGCCGCGGUAAUACGUAGGGUGCAAGCGUUAUCCGGAAUUAUUGGGCGUAAAGGGCUCGUAGGCGGUUCGUCGCGUCCGGUGUGAAAGUCCAUCGCUUAACGGUGGAUCCGCGCCGGGUACGGGCGGGCUUGAGUGCGGUAGGGGAGACUGGAAUUCCCGGUGUAACGGUGGAAUGUGUAGAUAUC